AUGGCGACGGCGCAAGGACGGGACUGGUCCUCUCUCCCGGUGGACGUUCUCGCCCAGAUUUUGAGUCGGAUCAAGUGGUCAAGCCAUCCGAGCUUUGGUCUGGUGUGCCGGCAAUGGCAGUAUGCGUGCACCUUGUCGCCCUUCUACCCGGCAUGGAUCACGCCCCUCCUCCUCAGUGCCACCAACGUUGGAACCACCAGUUUCCGGUACUACAGUCCAUACUACCACAAGAACUUCGAGAUUGCCACCAAGCUGGACACGCCUGGCGCCAAGAUGUACUGUGCCAAAGGGCUACACCUAAUGCUGGGCUCGGAGUUCAUGGUCCUCAGUGCGGAGCUCGGGACCGGUGCCGUGUGCGAGCUCCCACCGACUGCUCGGCCAGGCUUCGAUUUCGCGGUGUACGACGGUGUGGGUAGGGUCUGUGGCGUCGAAGCCAUUACCGGGCUCACGGUCUCGCUUGCUAUCAAAGAUAGCAACGACGGAUGGGGCGAGUGGGAGGAACAUGAUAUCGACGACUUCCAUCUCGUUCGUGCACCGUUUACAGCGUCACCAGACUGCAACCCAGUCCUCCACGACGGCUUGCUCUACGUAAUGGGAGAAGAUGGGAGGCUGAUUGUCUACAAUGGGAGUAGCCAAGACCAAAGGUUUGAGAUCCUCGAAAAGCCCCACGGCUUUGGUUUUAAAUGCCACGAAAGCUAUCUCUUCGAGUCCGACCGUGGCGAGCUCAUGGCCGCCCUCGUUGGGCGCCGUGGGACACCCGUCGACAUCGUCAAGCUCAACAAACGUACGAUGGAGUGGGAGAAGAGAGAGAGGCUCGAGGGAAGAGCCCUGUUCACCGGCACACUCACGACGAUGAUGAAGAGGACCAACAUCAAAUGGAUGCAGGACAAAGUGUUCCUCCCCAGACUCUUCAACUGGCCAGAGACCAUCCAUGUUGAUCUUGUUGAGCGUGACAACGAACUCGCAUUUGUGCCAAAACUGGGAUCCGCGCUUCCAACGAAGAAAGGUGGUAACAAUGACACAAACAUGUGGACUCAUGAAUUGGGACAAGGUAAGGAGGCAAGCCCAUUUUGGGGAACUGAGAGACUAGAUUAUAGUAUCUGGGUUGAUUUUAGUAACUGUUGA
rnacentral:rRNA from 1 species